CACACCGCCCGUCACACCAUGGGAGUCUGUCGUACCGGAAACCGCAGAGCUAACCGUAAGGAGGCAUGCGUUUAUGGUAUGGCCGAUGACUGGGGUG
rnacentral:rRNA from 1 species